AUUGAACGCUGGCGGCAGGCCUAACACAUGCAAGUCGAGCGGAUGAAGGGAGCUUGCUCCUGGAUUCAGCGGCGGACGGGUGAGUAAUGCCUAGGAAUCUGCCUGGUAGUGGGGGAUAACGUCCGGAAACGGGCGCUAAUACCGCAUACGUCCUGAGGGAGAAAGUGGGGGAUCUUCGGACCUCACGCUAUCAGAUGAGCCUAGGUCGGAUUAGCUAGUUGGUGGGGUAAAGGCCUACCAAGGCGACGAUCCGUAACUGGUCUGAGAGGAUGAUCAGUCAAACUGGCACUGAGACAAGGUCCAGACUCCUAAGGGGAGCCACAGUGGGGAAUAUUGGGAAAUGGGGGAAAGGCUGAUCCAGCCCAGCCGGGGGGGUGAAGAAGGUGCUCCGAUUGUAAAGCAAUUUAAGUUGGGGGGAAGGGCAAUUAGGUUAUAACUUGCUGUUUUGACGGUACCAAACGAAAAAGCCCCGGCUAAAUUCGUG
rnacentral:rRNA from 1 species